CCACCAGAGGGGCCCAGGAGAAGUGGCCAGGUUCCUAGCGGGCACCGCGGCCCUGGUCCUCAUCCUUGGUGUGGCUCUUGCUGUCCUCUUCCUGCAUCGCCGGCAGCAGGAGCGCCAGCUGGAGGUGGAGGGUGGCGGGACUGCCUUGCCCACCUCCCAGGAGCCGGAGCCUCCUCCCGACAGGCAGAGCCACCAUGCGCCUGAGGACAUCCAGGUUCUCCACCUGGAGCCAGGGAAGCAGCUGCUGCAGCAGGAGCAGGAAGUGGAGCAGCUGCCCCUGCAGCCCCCCUACUACGAUCUGGGCACUUCCCCCUCCUACCGCCCCUCGGUAAGGACUGCUCAACCCCAACCCCCAGACAAGGCGCCCCCAACCCAGCUCCACCCAGCCUGGCCACGAGCCCAGCUGCCCGGAUGGAAGGAGGACACGGGAAGCCCA